rnacentral:sRNA from 1 species
GGACUCCUUGGCCUGACGAAAAUUCGCCCAUCUGGACCGGUACAGUAUGUUGUGCAGUGGAAGCAGCGAACUUAUGCAUUGGGAUACUAUGAUGAGAGUCAAUGGAUUACUGCAUCUGUAAGUGUUUAAAAGUUUAAGGCAAUAAAUUAUAAGAGCAUUUAUUUUUAGGUUGAGCCGGACACUAUGAUAAAAGUUGACGGAAUGAUUCCUGGAGUUCAAUACAAAUUCCUUAUCACUGUUGUUGGACCCGCCGGAAAGCUUGGAGAUACAAUUCAAAGCGAGUGGACUGAGAUUUCUAGUACUUUAGUUGUCAAGUCUCCCGGAUCACCGCUAAUUGUUAAAAAUGGAUUUAAUUCUGAACAGGGGGUUGUUGCACAUCUCCAUUUCCCGAGGUACGCACUGUUUUCUUUAUUUAUAAAAGCCAACGCCGCUAAGAUAAUGAACGGUGGUAAUUAGCCGAGAUCAAGUGGUUCUGGAGACCGGCAAAGCUCUUUGAGCAUCAUGACAGCUUGGGAUAAUAUACGGGUCGAUUCAAGGCCCCCCCCCCCCCAUAUUUUUUAUAACUGCUACACACUAAUUAAUCCUAUUGCAGAACCGCAUACGACAGUUGUUAUUUCCGGCUACAAGUCAAAAACGCGACGAAUUCGGUUGUGACGGAUAUUCGAGUGGACCCCACAUAUUCAAUUCUUUUGUCUCAUCUGGAGUUUGACUCGUCCUACGCAGUCACUUUUUCUGCUCUCUCGUCGGAUCAGAACACUGCGACAACACCGAUUUCAGUGAGGUUCAACUCGUUUCAAUGCAAGCAGGUUUAUGGGAAAGGAAGCCUUCAAUGUGG